rnacentral:rRNA from 3 species
ACUCUCAGCAACGGAUAUCUUGGCUCUUGCAACGAUGAAGAACGCAGCGAAAUGCGAUACGUAGUGUGAAUUGCAGAAUUCCGCGAAUCAUCGAGUCUUUGAACGCAAGUUGCGCCCGAGGCUUGUCCGAGGGCAUUUCCGCUAGAGCGUCACCGCGCCCCC